AACGAACGCUGGCGGCAUGCCUAACACAUGCAAGUCGAACGAGAUCUUCGGGUCUAGUGGCGCACGGGUGCGUAACGCGUGGGAAUCUGCCCUUUGGUUCGGAAUAACAGUUGGAAACGACUGCUAAUACCGGAUGAUGACGAAAGGCCAAAGAUUUAUCGCCAGAGGAUGAGCCCGCGUAGGAUUAGCUAGUUGGUGGGGUAAUGGCCCACCAAGGCGACGAUCCUUAGCUGGUCUGAGAGGAUGAUCAGCCACACUGGGACUGAGACACGGCCCAGACUCCUACGGGAGGCAGCAGUGGGGAAUAUUGGACAAUGGGCGAAAGCCUGAUCCAGCAAUGCCGCGUGAGUGAUGAAGGCCUUAGGGUUGUAAAGCUCUUUUACCCGGGAUGAUAAUGACAGUACCGGGAGAAUAAGCUCCGGCUAACUCCGUGCCAGCCGCCGCAGUAA
rnacentral:rRNA from 1 species